rnacentral:rRNA from 1 species
AGACCUCUGAUCAGAAAAGACUACCCGCUGAGUUUAAGCAUAUCACUAAGCGGAGGAGAAGAAACUAACCAGGAUUUCCCUAGUAACGGCGAGCGAACCGGAAAGAGCCCAGCUUGAAAAUCGCGGCGCA